rnacentral:rRNA from 1 species
GCUCAGCCGUUAACAAAGACAGCAUAAAACACAACGCUGUUCGCCAGAGAACUACAAGCUAAAGCUGAAAACUCCAAGGACUUGGCGGUGCUCCACAUCACCCUAGAGGAGCCUGUCCUAUAAUCGAUACCCCCCGAUCUACCUCACCAUUUUUUGAAGUUCAGUCUAUAUACCGCCGUCGUCAGCCUACCUUAUGAAAGAGCCAUAGCAAGCAAAACAGUCACCAACUAAAACGUCAGGUCAAGGUGUAGCACAUAAAAUGGAAGAGAUGGGCUACACUCUCUCCCCCAGAGAACACGAACAGCAUCAAUGAAACACUGCUCGAAGGCGGAUUUAGUAGUAAGAUAAACGAGAGAACUUAUCUUAAACCAGCCCUGGAGCGCGC